rnacentral:piRNA from 1 species
UGUUCAAAUCCUAACUGAGUAUUUUCU